UACGUAGGGGGCGAGCGUUGUCCGGAUUUAUUGGGCGUAAAACGCUUGUAGGUGGCCACGUCAAGUCGGAUGUGAAAUCUCCCGGCUCAACUGGGAGGGGUCAUUCGAUACUGGCGGGCUCGAGGCCGGUAGGGGGAAGCGGAAUUCCCGGUGUAGUGGUGGAAUGCGUAGAGAUCCGGAGGAACACCAAAGGCGAAGGGCAGUGUCCUGGGGAGUACCUGACGCUCAGGGUGGCGAAA
rnacentral:rRNA from 1 species